GGGCCCAUAGCUCAGCGGUUAGAGCAGGGGACUCAUAAUCCCUUGGUCGUAGGUUCAAAUCCUACUGGGCCCACCA
rnacentral:tRNA from 1 species